GAGUUUGAUCGUGGCUCAGAUUGAACGCUGGCGGCAUGCCUUACACAUGCAAGUCGAACGGCAGCAUGAUCUAGCUUGCUAGAUUGAUGGCGAGUGGCGAACGGGUGAGUAAUACAUCGGAACGUGCCCUGUAGUGGGGGAUAACUAGUCGAAAGAUUAGCUAAUACCGCAUACGACCUGAGGGUGAAAGUGGGGGACCGCAAGGCCUCAUGCUAUAGGAGCGGCCGAUGUCUGAUUAGCUAGUUGGUGGGGUAAAGGCCCACCAAGGCGACGAUCAGUAGCUGGUCUGAGAGGACGAUCAGCCACACUGGGACUGAGACACGGCCCAGACUCCUACGGGAGGCAGCAGUGGGGAAUUUUGGACAAUGGGCGAAAGCCUGAUCCAGCAAUGCCGCGUGUGUGAAGAAGGCCUU
rnacentral:rRNA from 1 species